AUGAACGUGAAAAUAGACUCACUCCGCCUCAUAUGGAUGCUACAUCAAGGGUCUCUGGCCAGACACUAAAUUCUCAAAGAGCUGGCGGUGGACGAAGAAGAGGACGCCCACCUACGAGGCCUAGAGGAAGACCACGGCUCUCCAGAACCCAAGGCAGGUAACCUGAUAAUGAUGGAAGUUCAGGAACAGCAGAUGGCAGUUCGCAGGCUUAGAGCUCCUCCCUAAUAGAUCAGACACAGAUUCAGAAGCUUGAACCACAUAUGGGGAUCCCAUUCUCUAAAGUCAUUUCCAAACAAUAUUGUCUUCUCUGAUACUUGAUUUCAUUUUGCAACAUUCGCCCAUUGAUUUUACAUUGCAACAUUCGCACAUUGUGCAAAAACAACCGACUGAAUC